rnacentral:rRNA from 1 species
CAGUAGGGAAUCUUCCCCCAAUGGACGAAAGUUCUGACGGGCAACGCCGCGUGAGUGAAGAAGGAUUUCGGUUCGUAAAACUCUGUUGUAAGGGAAGAACAAGUACCGUAGUAACUGGCGGUACCUUGACGGUACCUAGCCAGAAAGCCACGGCUAACUACGUGCCAGCAGCCGCGGUAAUACGUAGGUGGCAAGCGUUGUCCGGAAUUAUUGGGCGUAAAGCGCGCGCAGGCGGUUCCUUAAGUCUGAUGUGAAAGCCCCCGGCUCAACCGGGGAGGGUCAUUGGAAACUGGGGAACUUGAGUGCAGAAGAGGAGAGUGGAAUUCCAAGUGUAGCGGUGAAAUGCGUAGAGAUUUGGAGGAACACCAGUGGCGAAGGCGACUGUCUGGUCUGUAACUGACACUGAGGCGCGAAAGCGUGGGGAGCAAACAGGAUUAGAUACCCUGGUAGUCCACGCCGUAAACGAUGAGUGCUAAGUGUUGGGGGGUUUCCGCCCCUCAGUGCUGCAGCUAACGCAUUAAGCACUCCGCCUGGGGAGUACGGCCGCAAGGCUGAAACUCAGGAA